rnacentral:rRNA from 1 species
GACGAACGCUGGCGGCGUGCUUAACACAUGCAAGUCGAACGGAAAGGCCCUGCUUUUGUGGGGUGCUCGAGUGGCGAACGGGUGAGUAACACGUGAGUAACCUGCCCUUGACUUUGGGAUAACUUCAGGAAACUGGGGCUAAUACCGGAUAGGAGCUCCUGCUGCAUGGUGGGGGUUGGAAAGUUUCGGCGGUUGGGGAUGGACUCGCGGCUUAUCAGCUUGUUGGUGGGGUAGUGGCUUACCAAGGCUUUGACGGGUAGCCGGCCUGAGAGGGUGACCGGCCACAUUGGGACUGAGAUACGGCCCAGACUCCUAAGGGAGGCAGCAGUGGGGAAUAUAGCACAAUGGGCGGAAGCCUGAUGCAGCAACGCCGCGUGCGGGAUGACGGCCUUCGGGUUGUAAACCGCUUUCGCCUGUGACGAAGCGUGAGUGACGGUAAUGGGUAAAGAAGCACCGGCUAACUACGUG